rnacentral:lncRNA from 13 species
GGGAUUCCUUGCUUUCUAAAAGACUGUAAGUGGAGCUAGAGAUACAAAAACUGCAAGCAUCAUUUCAGGACUCUAAAAGGAAUUCUAAGUUUUCUGAUGAAAAUGCUACCGCAGGUAUUGCAACACCAGAGUCCCAUUUUAUGUCUAAAAAUAUGACUCAUUGCUGUCAUUUUGCAUUGUUGAUAGUUCUGAUGAGUGAUUAUAUAUUUUGCAUUCAUAAAAACUGAAACAUUACUGCUGUCUUCAGGUGAUUUAUUUUGCAGACAAAAGUUUAUCAUACAUGGACCAAAAAGGAAACAUACAUAACUGAAGAGAUGCCCAAGAGACAGGCUCAGAUUUUCAGUGUCAAAUGAUAAAUGACGAUCAUUUCAGCUCUUUUCCCUGUUUCCUUCUCAUAAUGUUUGGGUUUUAAGAAGAUGCUUGCCAUGUUGUCAACAGUCACCGCUGAGAUAAUGCAGUAGAACGAGUUAUACGAGAACCUGAAGGAACUAUGGAAAGUGAAAGAAUUAUUUUUUCUCAAAAAGCAGAUGUCCUUUCACAACAGGAAGGACAAUAUAAUUGUCAUUCUGACCAUUUGCCAAAUGAGGACACUGAGAUGAGAUGAGUCGCUUACAUUGCCCAUGGCCAAAUGGCUGGGUCUCCCUCUGUCACCCAGGAUGGAAUACAGUGAUGCAGUCAUGGCUCUCUGCUGCUUCCACCUCCCAGGCUCAAGUGAUCCUCCCACCUCAACCUCCCCAGCAGCACCAGCACACCCAGCUACCUUUUGAAGAGACAGGAUUUCACCAUGUUGCACCGGCUGGUCUCAAACUCACAGGCUUCAGCAAACCUCCUGCCUCAGUCUCCUAAAAUGCUGGGAUUAUAGAUAUGCGCCACCAUGCCUAGCCCUAAAGGGGAACAAGUCUUAGAAUUGUGUAUCUUCUCUUGAUCCUGUAAAGCCAGCUCUGGUGCUAAGAGCCUCCCAUUUAUUUUCACUAAGGAAGUGCUUUGAAGUACUCAACAUUAUGCAUCUUUUCCCACACCAGGAGAGUAGAGCCACCUGUUAAGAUUCACAACUGCUGGUGAGACACAGGUAUUUUCAGAUGGCACUCAUAUGAGGUAUCCACUGGGACAUGGGCUUGAUGUUCAUAGAGAGAGCCUGUGGGGUGCUGGGAG